ensembl:lncRNA
CAUACAGAACAGCAUUCCAUAUCUUAUUCCAGUUCACUCUGAAAGUUCUGUGAUGAAUCGUCUCCAUGGUAAUGUGAUGAUAUACAUUCUGUAUUCUGUACCAACUGCCAUUUUGUGAGUUGAAAGAUUUGCAAAAGUGAGAAGACCUCAUCUUCAACCUUAAGUGUUUUAAAAUGGGCAACUUGAAUUUCUGUUCUGGAGGAUGUUUUGUCUGGAAGACCAGAAGAGACACUCCCAGAAUCCAAGAACAUUAACAACUAGCUGGGUCAAGAGAGUUCAUUGCUGGCCACGCAAUAGGGUGCACCCUAUAAAUGACUCAGUUGAAGAGCUCUCUGAGGAUGAGCUGUCCACCUCAAACUUGGAGGAAGAGGCCCUGCCCACCGGUGUGGUAAGUGCCCCAAUCUAUCUGAG